GACGAACGCUGGCGGCGUGCUUAACACAUGCAAGUCGAACGGAAAGGCCCUGCUUCUGUGGGGUGCUCGAGUGGCGAACGGGUGAGUAACACGUGAGUAACCUGCCCUUGACUUUGGGAUAACUUCAGGAAACUGGGGCUAAUACCGGAUAGGAGCUCCUGCGGCAUGGUGGGGGUUGGAAAGUGUCGGCGGUUGGGGAUGGACUCGCGGCUUAUCAGCUUGUUGGUGGGGUAGUGGCUUACCAAGGCUUUGACGGGUAGCCGGCCUGAGAGGGUGACCGGCCACAUUGGGACUGAGAUACGGCCCAGACUCCUACGGGAGGCAGCAGGGGGGAAUAUUGCACAAUGGGCGGAAGCCUGCUGCAUCAACGCCGCGUGCGGGAUGACGGCCUUCGGGUUGUGAACCGCUUUCACCUGUGACGAAGCGUGAGUGACGGUAAUGGGUAAAGAAGCACCGGCUAACUACGUG
rnacentral:rRNA from 1 species